AGCGUAGACGGAUGGACAAGUCUGAUGUGAAAGGCUGGGGCUCAACCCCGGGACUCCAUUGGAAACUGCCCGUCUUGAGUGCCGGGGAGGUAAGCGGAAUUCCUAGUGUAGCGGUGAAAUGCGUAGAUAUUAGGAGGAACACCAGUGGCGAAGGCGGCUUACUGGACGGUAACUGACGUUGAGGCUCGAAAGCGUGGGGAGCAAACA
rnacentral:rRNA from 1 species